rnacentral:misc_RNA from 1 species
GCGAGAAGUGUGAGAUCAAAAAUCCACAAGCACCUAGAUCCACCGACUAUUCACAGAAAUUUGUUAUUACUAUUUGGCAAAAAUUAAUUUAAAUUUUCUCAGGAAAUUUUGCUCUGUGAUCAAACAGACUGUGCUGGCUGUGUUAAAUUUUUAAUAUGUUCAGAUUAUAAAAUACAUGUAGUUGCCAAUAUUAAAUGCUUUAGUUAACACAUCAUUCAUUUUUCGAUGAAAGCUUAAUUAGAAAAUGUUAGUUGAAAAACACUAUGAUCUUGUUAUUGUUGACUGCGGUGACACUUGCUCAUAUUUUUUACUACAUAUAAAUUAUUGAAAUGUUGAUUUGCUUUUAGUUAUAAGAAAUGCAGGUUUUUUUUAGGUUACACAUGUAUAUCUCUCUCUCUACAUACCAAUCCAUGUCAAAGAGAACUACACGUCAAUCAUCUAAAAUCUUGUUUUAAUUUCUUAUUUAUUAUGUUAUUAUAUAGUAAAUAUUAUUUAACCCUAUGUAUAUAAAAAAUUAUAAACAUUGCACAGACAAUAAUUUGUGACAACAUUUUAUUGUUUUAUUCUGGAUAUUGUACGUCGUACAGUUUUAAGUGCCUAUGAUAAGUCAGAUUAAAACAUGGUCAGAGAUAACAUGGUAUCUGACUUUGAUAUUUAUUUCACUUAAUGAAUGAAACAAUAAAAUAUACCAAAC